rnacentral:rRNA from 1 species
GUGAGGAAUAUUGGUCAAUGGGCGAGAGCCUGAACCAGCCAAGUCGCGUGAAGGAAGAAGGAUCUAUGGUUCGUAAACUUCUUUUGCAGGGGAAUAAAGUGCAGGACGUGUCCUGUUUUGUAUGUACCCUGAGAAUAAGGAUCGGCUAACUCCGUGCCAGCAGCCGCGGUAAUACGGAGGAUCCGAGCGUUCUCCGGAUUUAUUGGGUUUAAAGGGUGCGUAGGUGGUUUGAUAAGUCAGCGGUGAAAGUUUGCAGCUUGACUGUAAAAAUGCCGUUGAAACUGUCGGACUUGAGUGUAAAUGAGGUAGGCGGAAUGCGUGGUGUAGCGGUGAAAUGCAUAGAUAUCACGCAGAACUCCGAUUGCGAAGGCAGCUUACUAAGCUACAACUGACUCUGAAGCACGAAAGCGUGGGGAUCAAACAGGAUUAGAUACCCGGGUAGUCC